rnacentral:rRNA from 1 species
GCCAGCCCGCUCAAGAACUUAAAGGAAUUGACGGGGCCCGCACAAGCGGUGGAGUAUGUGGUUUAAUUCGAUGCAACGCGAAGAACCUUACCUGGUCUUGACAUCCCGGAGACCCUUAGGAAACUAGGGGGUGCUUCCAUCUGGAAGAAUCUGGAGACAGGUGCUGCAUGGCUGUCGUCAGCUCGUGUCGUGAGAUGUUGGGUUAAGUCCCGCAACGAGCGCAACCCUUGCCUUUAGUUGCCAGCAGUUCGGCUGGGCACUCUAAAGGGACUGCCGGUGUUAAACCGGAGGAAGGUGGGGAUGACGUCAAGUCCUCAUGGCCUUUAUGACCAGGGCUACACACGUACUACAAUGGCCGAUACAAAGGGCAGCGACACUGCGAGGUGAAGCCAAUCCCGUAAAAUCGGUCUCAGUCCGGAUUGGAGUCUGCAACUCGACUCCAUGAAGUUGGAAUCGCUAGUGAUCGCGCAUCAGCCAUGGCGCGGUGAAUACGUUCCCGGGCCUU